CGCUAACUACGUGCCAGCAGCCGCGGUAAUACGUAGGGCGCAAGCGUUAUCCGGAAUUAUUGGGCGUAAAGAGCUCGUAGGCGGUUUGUCGCGUCUGCCGUGAAAGUCCGGGGCUCAACUCCGGAUCUGCGGUGGGUACGGGCAGACUAGAGUGAUGUAGGGGAGACUGGAAUUCCUGGUGUAGCGGUGAAAUGCGCAGAUAUCAGGAGGAACACCGAUGGCGAAGGCAGGUCUCUGGGCAUUAACUGACGCUGAGGAGCGAAAGCAUGGGGAGCGAACAGGAUUAGAUACCCUGGUAGUCCAUGCCGUAAACGUUGGGCACUAGGUGUGGGGGACAUUCCACGUUUUCCGCGCCGUAGCUAACGCAUUAAGUGCCCCGCCUGGGGAGUACGGCCGCAAGGCUAAAACUCAAAGGAAUUGACGGGGGCCCGCACAAGCGGCGGAGCAUGCGGAUUAAUUCGAUGCAACGCGAAGAACCUUACCAAG
rnacentral:rRNA from 1 species